UAGGCAGACUUGGUGCAUUUCCUUCCAAC
rnacentral:piRNA from 1 species